GCAGGUUCCACUGGGUGCUAAUGGAUGUGCAUUAUUUUCAUUUGAGGAACUCUGCGACAGGCCUCUUGGUGCAGCAGACUAUUUUGGACUAUUUAAAAACUUCCAUACGCUGGCUCUGGAUGGCGUACCGAUUUUUGGGCUUCAUAAUAAAACUGCAGCAUACCGUUUUGUGACGUUGGUUGAUGUAAUGUAUGAAAAUAGAGCUAGACUUUUAUGCACGGCUGAGGGAUCUCCCGUCGAACUUUUUGAAAAGAUCGUGACAAUAUCCGAUGCCCAACAAAUAGCACCUAGAACAUCUUCAAGGUCAAGGAAGAACGAUGAUUUUGACCUUUGUGUGGACAACGAGUUGGGUUUUGCAAAAGAUCGCACCAUUAGUAGGUUGACAGAGAUGAACAGCAGAGAGUACUUAGAACAACAUGCUGAAAUGUUAGCCAAGAAGCUGCAACUUCCGUCGGAAAAUCACGGCGAGAAGGCAAUAGAGGUGUAGUUGAUAUAGGAAUUCCAUACAUUUUCCCAAUUCAAGGGGAUCAAUUCUUGUCUGUAAAAUUGUGCAAAAAUAACAUAUCAUAAAAGAAGUGAGGUUGAUUAAAGCUUUGGCUGGCAAUGAGAUGCAGAAAUGUGAUAUAUAUAUGGUUUAGUUGAUUAAUAAUGUGAUUGUUUGUAAUUACUGAGCUGAUAAUGACAACA
rnacentral:misc_RNA from 1 species